rnacentral:lncRNA from 1 species
ACGAGUUUGCACUCACUAUGGUAAGGAUAACUUAGUGAAUAACCGCAUAAAUAUUGAAGGUAAGGUUGGUGAUUCUCAAGCUGACUUGAGUGGAGAAAAUGGACAAGAUUUUGGGUCCUUGAAUUUUACACCAUAUAAACGCAAGGCAUUACUUCCUCUCCUCCAAGGUUCAUAACAAAUGCAAUCUCAUAAUGUUAAUCACUUAACUUCCAAACCUGGUGCAGAAAC